CCUACGGGGGGCAGCAGUGGGGAAUAUUGCACAAUGGGGGAAACCCUGAUGCAGCGACGCCGCGUGAGUGAAGAAGUAUUUCGGUACGUAAAGCUCUAUCAGCAGGGAAGAAAAACCGGCCUUAGGGCCGCCAGACGGUACCUGACUAAGAAGCCCCGGCUAACUACGUGCCAGCAGCCGCGGUAAUACGUAGGGGGCAAGCGUUAUCCGGAUUUACUGGGUGGAAAGGGAGCGUAGACGGCAGCGCAAGUCUGGAGUGAAAUGCCGGGGCCCAACCCCGGAACUGCUUUGGAAACUGUGCAGCUGGAGUGCAGGAGAGGUAAGCGGAAUUCCUAGUGUAGCGGUGAAAUGCGUAGAUAUUAGGAGGAACACCAGUGGCGAAGGCGGCCUGCUGGACGACAACUGACGGUGAGGCGCGAAAGCGUGGGGAGCAAACAGGAUUAGAUACCCUAGUAGUC
rnacentral:rRNA from 1 species